AUGGAGCCCGCGGAGCUAGCCAAGAUCAUCUUCUCCAGGGUGCAGGAGGUGGAGCCGGACAACGUGAGCAAGAUCGUCGGCUGCAUCCUGCUGCGGGAGCCCGACGAGGAUGAGCUGGUGCACCUCGCCUACGCCACCGACGCCGCGCUGCGCAACACCAUCUACGAGGCCAAGGGCACGCUCGCCGCCAUCUACGCCCGCUUCUCCGCCUCCCCCGUCCACCACUACCACCAGCCCAACGGCGUCGGCUACCAGCAGGUCUGCUCCCACCCCGCCGGCCUCCGCCAUUUCUCCCCCGCCGUCCAGUACUGGCCGCCGGACUCCCCGCCGCCGGCGGAGAAGGAGUACGCCUUCGUCGACGCCGCCGCGGCCGAACCCCACUACGGGCUGCGCGGCGGCCGGCACGGAGCGCUCGGCGACGGCGCCCUGGGCGGCGGCGGCGGGGGGUACUACUCCGCCGCGGGCUUUCCUCCGGCGACCGGCCGGCGGUCUAACGGGGUGUCCUCGAGACGGCCCUGCCACUACUUCUUCAAGGGCAUCUGCAAGAACGGCCAGAACUGCCACUACUCGCACCACCAGGUGUACACGGACGGGUUCGCCGUCGACCACCACAUCCACGGGGGCGCCACGCCGGGGUCCCUCGAGAGCCUGGAGAUAGAGAUCACGGAGCUGCUCCACUCGCGGCGCGGGCAGCCGGUGUCCAUCGCGUCGCUGCCCACGCUCUACGGCGAGAAGUACGGCAAGGGGCUCCAGGCCGACGGCUACCUGACGGAGAGCCAGCGGCACGGCAAGGCCGGCUUCAGCCUCACCAAGCUGCUCUCCCGCCUCAACAAGAUCAGGGUGAUCGAAAGGCCGCACGGGCAGCACUCGGUGGUUCUCGCCGAGGACGCCGCCAAGUACUCGGAUUGCCGGAGCGACAGGGGAGGGGAGAUCCCGGCGAGCUCGCAUCAGAUAUACCUCACGUUUCCUUCCGACAGUAACUUCACCGAGGACGACGUCGCCAAUUAUUUCGGGCAGUACGGGCCGGUGCGUGACGUUCGGAUCCCGUGCCAAGACCAGCGAAUGUUCGGGUUCGUGAGCUUCCAGAACCCGGAGACUGUGACGGCCCUUCUCAUGCGGCGCAACCCGCAUUUCAUCUGCGGAUCACGGGUCCUCGCCAAAGCCUACAGAGAGAAAACCAAAUGCAUCAAUGAGAGGACCAACAACAAGUCGACGACGCAUUGCUAUCCUCCACGCUGGAUCGAGACCGAUCCAGAGUUCUAUCCAGACCAGUAUGAUUCUCCAAGGCUGGAGAGGAGGCAACUGGCGCGCGACAGGCAGCAGCUGCUGGAGCUCGAGAGGAGGCACCUGGCCGGGCUCCGAGUAGUUGAGCCGCAGUGCGCCGCCUACUUUGAUUGCAGCAUCGGGGACGUCGCUCCCUUCAACUCCCACUCCCAGUCCCAAUCCCAAUCCGCAGGUUCCAAGGAAGUGGGACGGACGAUGGAUCCCCUCUCCACGGCUGAUCAACUUGAUGACAUCGUCUCAACCAGCCAGAGCCAGGCCCCUCCCAUACAGGCAAACAACAACUACGACGACCAAGAGAGCAACCAGAUUGAACUCCUCCCGGAGAGCCCGUUCGCAUCGUCAGCGCCCACUGGAAACGGCAUAUGA
rnacentral:rRNA from 1 species